rnacentral:rRNA from 1 species
GACGAACGCUGGCGGCGUGCUUAACACAUGCAAGUCGAACGGUAAGGCUCCAGCUUGCUGGGGUACACGAGUGGCGAACGGGUGAGUAACACGUGGGUGACCUGCCCUGCACUUCGGGAUAAGCCUGGGAAACUGGGUCUAAUACCGGAUAGGACCGCACCGUGAGGGUGUGGUGGAAAGUUUUUUCGGUGUGGGAUGGGCCCGCGGCCUAUCAGCUUGUUGGUGGGGUAAUGGCCUACCAAGGCGGCGACGGGUAGCCGGCCUGAGAGGGUGGACGGCCACAUUGGGACUGAGACACGGCCCAGACUCCUACGGGAGGCAGCAGUGGGGAAUAUUGCACAAUGGGCGGAAGCCUGAUGCAGCGACGCCGCGUGGGGGAUGACGGCCUUCGGGUUGUAAACUCCUUUCACCAUCGACGAAGGGUUUCUGACGGUAGAUGGAGAAGAAGCACCGGCUAACUACGUGCCAGCAGCCGCGGUAAUACGUAGGGUGCGAGCGUUGUCCGGAAUUACUGGGCGUAAAGAGCUCGUAGGUGGUUUGUCGCGUCGUCUGUGAAAUUCCGGGGCUUAACUCCGGGCGUGCAGGCGAUACGGGCAUAACUUGAGUACUGUAGGGGAGACUGGAAUUCCUGGUGUAGCGGUGAAAUGCGCAGAUAUCAGGAGGAACACCGGUGGCGAAGGCGGGUCUCUGGGCAGUAACUGACGCUGAGGAGCGAAAGCAUGGGGAGCGAACAGGAUUAGAUACCCUGGUAGUCCAUGCCGUAAACGGUGGGCGCUAGGUGUGGGUUUCCUUCCACGGGAUCCGUGCCGUAGCUAACGCAUUAAGCGCCCCGCCUGGGGAGUACGGCCGCAAGGCUAAAACUCAAAGGAAUUGACGGGGGCCUGCACAAGCGGCGGAGCAUGUGGAUUAAUUCGAUGCAACGCGAAGAACCUUACCUGGGCUUGACAUAUACAGGAUCGGGCCAGAGAUGGUGUUUCCCUUGUGGCUUGUAUACAGGUGGUGCAUGGUUGUCGUCAGCUCGUGUCGUGAGAUGUUGGGUUAAGUCCCGCAACGAGCGCAACCCUUGUCUUAUGUUGCCAGCACGUUGUGGUGGGGACUCGUAAGAAACUGCCGGGGUUAACUCGGAGGAAGGUGGGGAUGACGUCAAAUCAUCAUGCCCCUUAUGUCCAGGGCUUCACACAUGCUACAAUGGUCGGUACAGUGGGUUGCCAGUCCGUGAGGGCGAGCUAAUCCCGCAAAGCCGGUCUCAGUUCGGAUCGGGGUCUGCAACUCGACCCCGUGAAGUCGGAGUCGCUAGUAAUCGCAGAUCAGCAACGCUGCGGUGAAUACGUUCCCGGGCCU